rnacentral:rRNA from 1 species
AAAGUGGGAGAAUGAAAAGUGGCUUGGGUCUCAUGGGCAGAGAUGACGCAACCGAAAUAUAUGGGUGGACUGGGCUUUAGAGGUAUUGAGCUCUUCAAUCUAGCGAUGCUAGCAAAACAAGCAUGGAGGCUGCUACAAGAUAAGAAAACUCUAAGUGGUAAGAUUUUAAUAGUUGUAUAUUUUCCGGGUAUGGACUUACAUGAUGCAGAAUUGGGCACCUCUUCGAGCCAAGUAUGGCGAGCUAUCAUAGAAGGAAGAUACACUCUUAAGUUGGGGCUUGGGAAGCGUAUUGGAACGAGAAAGAAUACUUGAGUUUGGGAGGAUAAUUGGCUCACAAGACUCCCCAAGAAGCCACUAGGGCCACCGUAUUCUCCUCACGCCCUCACACUAUGCGAGAUGCCGUGA